GACGAACGCUGGCGGCGUGCUUAACACAUGCAAGUCGAACGGUGACCCAGGGCUUGCCCUGGUGAUCAGUGGCGAACGGUGAGUAACACGUGGACAACCUGCCCCUGACUUCGGGAUAACUCCUCGAAAGAGGGGCUAAUACCGGAUACGAACACUUCGGACAUCCGAUGGUGGUGGAAAGUUUUUCGGUCAGGGAUGGGCCCGCGGCCUAUCAGCUAGUUGGUGGGGUAAUGGCCUACCAAGGCGACGACGGGUAGCCGGCCUGAGAGGGCGACCGGCCACACUGGGACUGAGACACGGCCCAGACUCCUACGGGAGGCAGCAGUGGGGAAUAUUGCGCAAUGGGCGAAAGCCUGACGCAGCGACGCCGCGUGAGGGAUGAAGGCCUUCGGGUGUAAACCUCUUCUAGCAGGACGAAGCGAAAGUGACGGUACCUGCAGAAGAAGCACCGGCUAACUACGUGCCAGCAGCCGCGGUAAU
rnacentral:rRNA from 1 species